CUAUACCCAAUAUAUAUUAGCAAUAUAUAUUAGGUAUAGCCCCUUCGUUCGACGAUUCUUAAUACAUUAAGACGAAAGUCU
rnacentral:tRNA from 1 species